CCGCCGGCGACCGGCGCACGGGUGAGUAACACGUAUGCAACCUGGCCGUGACAGAUGGAUAACCGGGAGAAAUCCCGCCUAAUACAACAUAAUGCCGGGAGGGGACAUCCCCUGCCGGUCGAAAGGGGGCCGACCCCGGUCACGGAUGGGCAUGCGGCGCAUUAGGUAGUUGGUGGGGCAACGGCCCACCAAGCCGACGAUGCGUAGGGGUUCUGAGAGGAAGGUCCCCCACAUUGGAACUGAGACACGGUCCAAACUCCUACGGGAGGCAGCAG
rnacentral:rRNA from 1 species